rnacentral:rRNA from 1 species
UACGUAGGGUGCGAGCGUUGUCCGGAAUUAUUGGGCGUAAAGGGCUCGUAGGCGGUUUGUCGCGUCGGGAGUGAAAACCAUGGGCUUAACUCAUGGCUUGCUUCCGAUACGGGCAGACUAGAGGCAUGCAGGGGAGAACGGAAUUCCUGGUGUAGCGGUGAAAUGACGCAGAUAUCAGGAGGAACACCGGUGGCGAAGGCGGUCUCUGGGCCUUACCUGACGCUCAGGUGCGAAAGCUAGGGGAGCGAACAGG